UCUAGAGAGACUGCCGGUGACAAACCGGAGGAAGGUGGGGACGACGUCAAGUCAUCAUGGCCCUUACGACCUGGGCUACACACGUGCUACAAUGGUCGGUACAGAGGGUUGCCAAGCCGCGAGGUGGAGCUAAUCUCACAAAACCGAUCGUAGUCCGGAUCGCAGUCUGCAACUCGACUGCGUGAAGUCGGAAUCGCUAGUAAUCGUGGAUCAGCACGCCACGGUGAAUACGUUCCCGGGC
rnacentral:rRNA from 13 species